rnacentral:rRNA from 1 species
GACGAACGCUGGCGGCGUGGAUUAGGCAUGCAAGUCGAACGGUAUCAUCCUUUCGGGGGUGAGAGAGUGGCGAACUGGUGAGUAACACGUAGGUUAUCUACCCUCAAGACGGGGACAACCCAGGGAAACUUGGGCUAAUACCGGAUGUGAGCAACUUUUAGUUGUUUGAAAGGUGGCGUAAGCUGUCGCUUGGGGAUGAGCCUGCGUCCUAUUAGUUAGUUGGUGAGGUAACGGCUCACCUAGGCAAUGAUAGGUAGGCGGCCUUAACGGGUGGUCGCCCACACUGGGAUUGAGAUACGGCCCAGACUCCUACGGGAGGCAGCAGUCGAGAAUAGUCUACAAUGGUCGGAAGACUGAUAGUGCGACGCCGCGUGAACGAUGAAUCCCUUCGGGGUGUAAAGUUCUUUUAUAUGUGAGCAGUGCUUCUUAUAUUAACAGUAUGGGGAAGAGAUAUUAGCAUAUGAAUAAGCAACGGCUAACUCCGUGCCAGCAGCCGCGGUAAAACG